rnacentral:rRNA from 1 species
GACGAACCGUGCGACCGUUGUUCGGAAUCACUGGGCUUAAAGGGCGCGUAGGCGGGUUGCCAAGUCCGGGGUGAAAGCCUCCAGCUUAACUGGAGAAGUGCCUUGGAUACUGGUGAUCUCGAGGGAGGUAGGGGCAUGUGGAACUUCCGGUGGAGCGGUGAAAUGCGUAGAUAUCGGAAGGAACGCCGGUGGCGAAAGCGACGUGCUGGACCUCUUCUGACGCUGAGGCGCGAAAGCUAGGGGAGCAAACGGG